CACGGAGUUAGCCGAUCCUUAUUCUUCCGGUACAUUCAGCUCUGCUCACGAGCAGAGGUUUAUUCCCGGAUAAAAGCAGUUUACAACCCAUAGGGCAGUCUUCCUGCACGCGGCAUGGCUGGUUCAGAGUUGCCUCCAUUGACCAAUAUUCCUUACUGCUGCCUCCCGUAGGAGUCUGGUCCGUGUCUCAGUACCAGUGUGGGGGCCAUCCUCUCAGAUCCCCUAGUCAUCGUCGCCUUGGUGGGCCGUUACCCGCCAACUAGCUAAUGACACGCAUGCCCAUCUCCAUCCCAUAAAUGUUUGAUCAUUGGAUAAUGCCAUCCUGUGAUUUUAUGCGGUAUUAAUCCCGGAUUUCUCCGGGCUAUCCCCCUGACUGAAGGUAGGUUGCAUACGCGUUACGCACCCGUGCGCCACUUUCUCUUCCAGCAAGCUGGAAAUAUCGUUCGACUUGCAUGUAUUAGGCCUGCCGCUACGCGUUCAU
rnacentral:rRNA from 1 species